UUUCAAAGGCGUUGCCGAGGCGCGCCCGGGGCGCGCUCCGGUGUGGGGCGACCGGAAAUUGCCUCGCCGGAUGAAAAUGAGGCGUGCUGCUGGAAAGGCGAUCGAAAAGGCGACGGAGCGCCGCUUUUUGCAGAGGCGGCGCCUCAGGCAGGAAGGCGAGGAAGAAGAAGAAGACGCGCACGAGAUCGACCGGUAGAUGCUUUCAGAACGCAGCGCAGGAGCCAGGAGGAAGAGUGAAAAGUGAAAACACGAGUGUGUGGGUGCGAUUCUUGGCUGGUGGAUCUACGAGAUCAGCCAUGAGUGAGAAAGGGGAAGAUGGAAGAGACAAAGCAUGGAAGUAUACAAAAAAAGUGGAAGGGGAGAGAUACUUUAGAUGUGUAUUUUGUAAUCAAGUAUGCAGUGGCACUAUAUCUAGACUUAAGCAUCAUU